CACGAAGCAAUGUGAGCUAAUUUUACACAUAUAUUAGAAUCUAUAAUAUGUUGCAUAAUAUAUAAUGAUUUAAAAUUAGGAGUGAUAUUCUUACCAAAUUUUGCGAUAUCUUGAUGUGUUUGAAAAGUAUUUAGUACAAAUACAAUUUAUAAGCGAUUAGGUUUAUAAAAAAUAUUAAUAAUUGUAAUAUUAAGAUUUGCUUUGUGUAAUUAUUAACAUGUUUAUUUAUUUAAUAUUAUUAUAUAUUAUUUAUAAUUAUUAAAUCACAUACAUAAAUUAUAUAACUGUUAUUUAAUGUUAUUAUUAGUAAUAAAUAGAUAUUUAUAAUGAACUCGGCAAUAUUAUUCUUCAACUGUUUAUCAAAAACAUAGUUAUUAGAAAUUAUUAAUAAUAUAUUCUGCUCAAUGAAUUAUUAAAUAGCCGCAGUACCCUGACUGUGCAAAGGUAGCAUAAUCAUUUGGCUUAUAAUUGAAGUCUUGUAUGAAUGAAAUGAUGGGGAAUAACUAUAUCAUAAAUAUAAUAUAAACUUAUUUAUAAAGUGCAAAUACUUUAAUUUAAAUAAUAGACGAGAAGACCCUUGAAAUUUUAAGAAUAUAUAUUUAGAAGGUUUUUGUUGGGGCAACAAUGUAACAAAUAAUUUACAUAUGUACAUGAAAUAAAAUAGGUUGAAUAAAUUACUCUAGGGAUAACAGCGUAAUAUUGAAAUGUUUGCGACCUCGAUGUUGGAUUAGGAAACAAAAACUUAG
rnacentral:rRNA from 1 species